UUCGAGAUCAAUCUUCCUCCCACUGCCUCUAUUAUGGAUAAACUCUUUUUCUAAGAAGAUGGUAUGACAGCUCAUAAUCAUAUUGUAAUCCUCAAGAAGAUAAAAAUAGUAUCCCAUAGUUUUCUUAAGAUACCCUAUAAAGCGAGCCCUAAAGGACCUAGCCUCUAACUUAUCUGCCUGUUAUCGCUUGAUAUAGACCGGACAUC
rnacentral:lncRNA from 1 species